rnacentral:rRNA from 1 species
CUACGGGAUGCUCCAGUGAGGAAUAUUGGUCAAUGGGCGCAAGCCUGAACCAGCCAUGCCGCGUGCAGGAUGACUGCCCUAUGGGUUGUAAACUGCUUUUAUAGGAGAAGAAUGUUAGGUACGUGUACUUAAAUGACGGUAUCCUAUGAAUAAGCAUCGGCUAACUCCGUGCCAGCAGCCGCGGUAAUACGGAGGAUGCAAGCGUUAUCCGGAUUCACUAGGUUUAAAGGGUGCGCAGGCUGAUAGUUAAGUCAGUGGUGAAAUCCUACGGCUCAACCGUAGAACUGCCAUUGAUACUGAUUAUCUAGAGUGCAGAUGAGGUAGGCGGAAUGUGUGGUGUAGCGGUGAAAUGCUUAGAUAUCACACAGAACACCGAUUGCGAAGGCAGCUUACUAAAUUGUAACUGACGCUCAUGCACGAAAGCGUGGGGAUCAAACAGGAUUAGAUACCCUCGUAGUC